UGAGAUAUAAAUAUAAUAAUUCAAUCAUUUCCUAUGAAUUUACACGUAAUUUGAUAUAAAUAUUGAUUCAUCUAUCAAGCAUCUGUAAUUAUUUACCACUUUCGAAAUCCCCAUCAAGGAUUUCCUUAAAGCCCUAUUGGUUGCAUAUUGAAAGCAAAGAUCAUAUUCGAUCCCAACGUAUCUGACAAACAGCAGAAAUUUGUUGAAAAGGACAAUAACAAUAUCAGCCACAAAGAAUUUUCGUUGUUUUGAUUUUUCUUCCUCUUUCUUUUUUUUUUUUUUGUUUUUUUCUCAUCUCUUUUGGGCCACAACAGAAUUACUGGCCCGAAAUACUCUUCUCUAGGACAAGGGUGUCUCCUGUUAGGCUGUAAGAGAUGAAUAGGUGGAUUUGGAGAUGCAUAUAUAUGGACCAUCAGUUUUUACUGCCUGCUUUAGCACUUGUUGGCCCAAUGUAGCCCAAUCCGCUGCCCUUCAUUUGAUCAGAUUUGAUGAUUGCAAAGCUAAAACAAAGGAGGGUCCAGCAAUUUGGUUGAAUUGCAAAGUUUCAACAAACCAUGAAAAGCAUGUGCCUAUUAAUAAUAAGUGCCUGUUAGGUCCUGGGCAAUGAAGCUACAUUGGCUGGCUUUUAAUUGGCCCCUCUUUUCUUGUUAGAGAUGACUGAUGGCCGGAACCUGCUUGGUGCCUACCCUGAAACACAAGGUAACGGAGCAAUAACUGCAUGUCAUCUCCUUUAAAAGAGAGUUCAGCAUUAAAAUCUGAGCAGUAACUCUAGUGAUUAAUUAAGAGAGAAAAAGGAAAUGCAUUUACCGCACGGCCCUCUAUCCAAUUUGAAAGGGUUAGAGAAAAGCUUCUCUGGACAUCCAGCAGUCUUUCUAUGACACCAAAUCCAUAAGCUUGGACGAAGAGAACCAUGUCAAUUUAGCUCAGCAGCACAAUUUUUUUUUAAUGAAGAGUGAAACUCCCACCAGAUUAUAAACCAUUUUCAUACCGUCUGCAAAUGUCAUCUACAACUUCAAAGAUUUUCUCAGGCAAGAUUAGAUCAAACGUGUUCUGUCGGCAGCGAAUAUGGACAGGCAAUAGUACCUCCAAUGUUAAACAAGGAAAUCUCAUUGGAGUAUUAGUUAUGAUUUGUUGCUAACCACGGGCACCUAAAUUUCAUAGCCUUACAGCGAAAAAGCAGAAGAAAGCAGUAGCAGAAAGAUGUCAAAGGACAAGAAUGCCUCCCCCCCAACAAUUGACUUUCUAAAGCACACCCCAAACGCCCUUUUAUUCAAAGAUCGUGCUUAGACAUUCCGUGGGCAAUAUCCUGCCUUCACAUUCUCAUAUCAAUUUGUUGUACGUAUAAAGCACUUAAAAGGUGUUUUGUUCAUGGUAUUGGGCUAAAUUUUUAUAGCCAAUCAUGUUGUAUUUGGUAUUACGGCU
rnacentral:lncRNA from 1 species